rnacentral:rRNA from 1 species
GAUGAACGCUGGCGGCGUGCCUAAUACAUGCAAGUCGAGCGAACAGACGAGGAUCUUACUCCUCUGACGUUAGCGGCGGACGGGUGUGUAACACGCGGAUAACCCACCUACAAGACUGGGAGAAAUUCGGGAAACCGGCGCAAAAAUCGGAUAAAAUAUUGUACCGUAUGGUUACUUUGUUAAAGACGGUUUUGCUGUUCGUUAUGGAUGUGUCGGCGCCGCAUUAGCUAGUUGGUAAGGUAACGGCUUACCAAGGCGACGAUGCGUAGCCGACCUGAGAGGGUGAUCGGCCACACUGGAACUGAAACACGAUCCAGACUCCUACGGGAGGCAGCAGUAGAGAAUCGUACGCAAUGGGAGGAAGCCUGACGUAGCAACGCCGCGUGAGUUAUGGAGGUCUUCGGAUCGUAAAACUCUGUUAUUAGGGAAGAACAAAUGUGUAAGUAACUAUGCACGUCUUGACGGUACCUAAUCAGAAAGCCACGGCUAACUCCGUG